AGGACGAACGCUGGCGGCGUGCUUAACACAUGCAAGUCGAGCGGUAAGGCCUUUCGGGGGUACACGAGCGGCGAACGGGUGAGUAACACGUGAGUAAUCUGCCCUCCACUUGGGGAUAAGCUUCGGAAACGGGUCUAAUACCUGAUACGACAACUACCUGCAUGGGUUGGUUGUGGAAGGUUUUUUCGGUGGGGGAUGUGCUCGCGGCCUAUCAGCUUGGUUGGUGGGUAAUGGCCUACCAAGGCUUCGGACGGGUAGCCGGCCUGAGAGGGUGACCGGCCACACUGGGACUGAGACACGGCCCAGACUCCGUACGGGA
rnacentral:rRNA from 1 species